GACGUUUCAAGCAGAUUUUUCCUACAGCACUCAAACGCCCCCUGCAGACACGCUCGUGACGCACCACGUAGUCGCACAGAAACCCGGAAGUGCUAACCAGGUAUGUUUUUUCUUUUUUUUUUUUUAGUUGAAGGUAUGUGUGGUAACACAGGUGGACUCGGGAAGAUGUGACGAGUUGGUUUGUCGGAGAGAAAAGAUGGAGGCCUGCUUUCUGCGUUGGUUGCUUUUCGUCGCGCUGACAUCCUGGGCGUUAGGAGACGACGGACAAGUGACUUUUGAGUCCGAGCUGUCGUCCAAACCCGCUCAGAAGUUGUCGAAGUACGGCUGGUACGCCAGCGUCAGGCUGCAGAGGUUCCACAUACCGGAGCAGACCGCCGUCGCUCGCUGGCUCUUCUCAGUGAAAAAGGGCCACAGCUUCAACUGUGGGCAGCACAACGUCAGCAUCCACCUCCGAUGGGGCGCUCCUCCCGUCAUAAACCCAACAGAGACUGUGUUUCCAAAUGCGACCCUGUGGGGCCCCUCCUUGUCCCUGAUUCUAGCGGUAACCUCCCAGAGCUCCACGACCUUUAACCUCUCCGAUCCGGCUCCGGGGGAUUGGUUCGUCGCUGCGCACUUACCGGAGGACGACGGGCGCAUAGAGCAGAAGGGUUUCCCGUCCUGCUCCUAUUACUUCCAGCCCCAGCUGUCGGUCAGGAGAGCGGCGGACACGCCCGUCCUGCAGCCGGGAACCGUCCUGACUCAGACUGCAGCCCCCGACAGACCCGCACGUCUCAAGUUGUUUGUGCCGGAGUUUACCUCGUGUCUCUCGGUUUCCGUGGCCGGGUGCUCGUCCGGCGAGGCGUUGGAGAGCGCCGGCUGCUCGCUGCUCCUCAGGCUGGGCUCGGCGUCGCUGCAGCACAGCCAGACGGAGCUGAACUGCUCUGGGGUCAGCUGCACCGCGUCCCUCUCUAACCCUCCAUGGGACUCGUGGCUGCGGGUCGUUGUGGAGAGCAGCCAAGUCAACCAAACUGUGACCUUCAGGAUUGGAUCCAACUUCACAGUGGGAUGUAAGCCAAAGAGCGUAGGCCUCACAGCGUACGAUGACAUCACAAAGCUACUUGGCAAGAGCAGCGUCUCCAACGCCACGGCGACGGGGAACGUCUCGGCGCCGGCUCCCCCGCCGCCGCUGGCGUCCCCGUGCGUGUGGAGCGUCCCUGUGCUCUACGAGGAGCUGGACGUUCUGUCGCUGCGGUACACCCCCGUCAACAGCUCCAACGUCAGCGUCACGGAAACGCACCCCACGCUGCUCACCUACCCGCUGCCCCCGCAGGCCACCGGGGGAACGCUCAACCUGCAGCUCACGCUCAAUUCUACUAAUGCGACUUUGGGGAAUAACAGCAUCGUGGCCUGUUUCUCUGCCUGGGCUCCGGUCCUCCAACUCAACCACUCUGAACCCUGCAGAACAGGUUUGUUUAUGGGAUACGCCGUCGGGAUCAACGUCAGCGUCCCUAAAGCCAUGGUCAGGCUGCCUUUCCCUCAGUCCACAACGUGGUACCUCACCCUGCAGCUCCUAUGCAACAGCAGUGACUGCGGUAACGCCUCGGUGGUGUCUGUGGUCCCGGAGGUGUCCGUCAGCGCCUGCGUGGACGACUGUGGGCCGUACGGUGAAUGUAGGCUGCUGAGAUCCUACACAUACCUGUACUCUGCCUGUGUCUGCUCUGCAGGCUGGAAAGGUUGGGGCUGCACCGACGGCUCCACCGCCCAGUCGUACGCCCGCCAGCUGACGGCAACCAUGUUGCUGACGCUCAGCAACCUGUUCUUCCUGCCCGCCAUCGUGGUCGCCACCAGACGCUCCUACAUCACCGAGGCCUUCGUCUACCUCUUCACCAUGUUCUUCUCUACGUUCUACCACGCCUGCGACCAGCCCGGCGCGGCGGUCCUGUGCAUCAUGGACUACGACGCCCUGCAGUACUGCGACUUCCUUGGCUCCAUCUGCUCCAUCUGGGUCACCAUCCUCUGCAUGGCUCGCCUGGGAGACACAGCCAAAUACACUCUGUUUCUGCUCGGGGCCUUGCUGAUAGCCAUGUCAAUGCAGCUGGACCGCAAGGGCCUGUGGAACCUGCUGGGCCCCAUCCUGUGUGCCAUACUUCUCAUGGUCACUUCCUGGGUGUACAGAUGCGUCCGCCGGCGACACUGCUAUCCGCCCUCCUGGCGCCGCUGGGUCUUCUUCCUUCUGCCUGGAGCGCUGUGCGCCCUCAUCGGAGUGUGUCUGUACGUCUUCGCCGAGACGGAGAGCAACUACUACUACACGCACUCGCUGUGGCACAUCCUGGUGGCCGGCUGCGUGGUGUUCCUGCUGCCGCCCAAGGAGAAGGACCGGAAGGCGCUGGGCUGGAGCCGGGGCUUCAGCUGGAGCUGGAGGUGGAGCUGGAGGCCGCGGGUUUGUGGAUACACGCUCUGCGAGAGCAGCAAAGACGAACUGUACACGGUCACAUAGCAGAGGACGAGGCAGAGCGGGGCCGGCGUUUAUUCAGUCUGACUCUUUACCUGGACGAGGCGUUUUCCUGUCUAAAGCUGUAUAUUCACAUAAGUCCACAUAUAUUUCAUAUUCACAUGUGCUCCAAGUGGAAGAGGGGUCUUAGAUUUAGAUUUAGAUAGAACAUAUAUGCUCUUUGUAACCCACAUCCAGUCUGCUGGAAUCUCUAGAGAGAUGCACCAAUUAGAUUUUUAUAGCCGAUUUCUGGCCUGUCAUACAGAUUUAAUGUGAUUCCAAUUCUUCUUGAAGGACUUUACUGAAAAAAUGUCAAUCAUACAUAUACAUAUAUAUAUUUUUUACAGAUUUCCACUCGCAGGCGGUAUCAAGUUUAUAUAGGGAGCAGAUGAGACGUCACACUGUGUGUGUUUGUGUAAUACAGGAAUUGAUAUAAAACAGUGUUUAUUAUUAGUUAAGAACAAAGACAAAAUGAUUUGAGUUGAAAUUUUAAACCAUAUUUAAUAUCUUCCACCAGCACAGUCAGUCUGCUCAGAUUUAGUAACUGUAAACAGUCUCUGGGUGCAUUUUGUAACAGAACCCAAAGAUUUCCAAAACGCUGCCAAUAUUUUCAGCUCCAAUCUGUUCAAACAUGGCAGAGCAUGCCUUGCUAAUUCUAAACAAAAAAAAAAACAGUACAUGGUCACGAAUUGAGAUUCUGUAAGAGAAAGCUACUUUUCUUUUUUUGAUAAAGUCGGGUUACAAAAUGUACAAAAAUGCAAAUAAGUGAAAUGAUCAGCUCUCGCUGGCUGUAAUCGGCCACUGGAUAGAAAUCAUGUCUGCAGCGUAUCAGUCCGACUAACCUGCUAAGAUGUUCAGCUUACAUCGUUCCUGACAAACAAACCAAUGAAUGAAUAGCUCUCUGUUAUGGCAGGCUGAAUUAACAGUCAGCAUGCCUCAGUAGAAAAUGUGGUUCUUGUGCUUCCGUACUGAUGUUUAAUGCAAUGGCAAACUUUGACUCAUCUCCCUUCAGUAACAACUUCUCACUAAAAAGUGCUGAUUCAGCACAACCUGUUAGCAUUUAGGUGUAUUCACUGGCAAAAAAAUAUAUAUAUUUUUUUGUUUUUGCCCAUGUAUUGCUUAUCGUUGGUCAGAACUGAACUAGUAGGAGAUGAUUCAAUUUCAGUCAGCAGCUUAUUUAAAAGAUCCAAUGUCUCUGUUGUUUCUUCUUAGAUGUGGCCGCCGGUACCCUGAGGUAGCAGACCAGUACAGCUGGAUUAAUGCCUAAACAGGGUUGUUGAAUUUGAAGUCUGGGUUCAAUUGGAAGAGUUUAAAACCCCAGAUGAAAUUUGAACAAUAAUUUACUGCCAGACAGGUACUAUAAUGCUAUCGAAUUUGUACUGUAUUCUAUCGCAUUCAUUGAAAAAUGACGUAUCCGAUUACACCUCACAAAUCCACCUAACUGCAGGAAACUGCUGCUGCUCAUCACAAUCACUUAUUGUCUCCACACAGCGUCAGAAUUCUGACAAUCACAUCUCAGUCUCAUGGCUGCAGAUCAGAACAACCUGGACGAGGAAAGCACAGAAGAAAAUGUACGAAGAAACCAGAUUUACUGAAUCUGUUAUUUGGGUAAGGUGGAAUCUUUGUGAACCUUCCAGAAAAGGCAAUAUAUGCGGUAAAUGCAGUGUCCUUUUCUGCUAUUGUAGACUUAAGGUAACAGAGAGCUCUUAUCUGAACUCGUGUAUCUUCAGUAGAAUAACUCAUGAAUUUUGAAAAAAGAUUCUGGAGGCAGCCAUGACACGUUGCUACAACAUUGUAUGUGCCCCAGAUUUCUUUUAAAGCCGCAAGCCAGACUUUUCAACGACUUCCAUUCGAUCACCAUUCACAUUUUAAUUGUAGUAUGUCAUCCAUACAAAACCCGUCGAGGUCAAAUGUUCUCUUUAUGCCUUUUUACUGUAAACUGUUUUUUUGUGAAGAAGAAAAUGCCUGCCCUUGUAGAAGCACAUCACAAAACACAUUCAAUCAGGGUUUUUUUCCUUUCCUUAAAAAAAACAAAAAAAACUUGUUUUUAAUCCAGUUGGAGUCCAACUCAGCUGUGUGCCUGUAGCUAUGCAUCAAGCUAGAUAGCUAGCUAGAUGCAAAGCUUGCUCGCUAGCUAACUAGAUUUAGCUCCUUUUUACUAACUAAAUCUUUUGAGCUAGUAAAAAGAUUUAGCAUAGCUAAAUCUUCUUAGCUAGUAAAAACAGCUACUUUUUACUAACUAAAUCUUUUUAGCUGGUAAAAAGAUUUGGUUUUUUUACUAGCAAAGUCUUCUAGCUUGCUAAAUCAGACUAGCGAGCUAAAUCAUAUGGAAUUCUGUUUUUUAUUACCCAGCUUUGUUUUUAUUGUCGUGUGUCUCGGUGGAACAUGACCUGGUAGGAAUAUUCUGCUUUGAACGAAGCCUCUUUGUGGAGGUAAAAUGAAGAAAAUGUUUUCUGUUCAUCCGCAGCCUAAGAAAUUACAACUCUUUAAGUUAAUAAGAUUUUUCUUUUCCACAGUUUUGGUGUGACAUAAAUCACUCAUAUGUAUAAAUCAGCACUCAAGUGAAUGUAUGCUAAGAUUACUGGCCAGUGCCUCUUCCUUUUUGUCUUUUUUUUUUUUUAUUGCACUUUAUGUACGGUAUAGGUUAUAGGAGCUCUGUGGGGAGAGGGGGCGGGGCUUAGUCUCUUGUACCAGUAAAGCUACUGAUAUCUUGCUAUAUUUAAUCCAAAACUCGAAUCGUCUCAUGUGUUACUUUGAUCUAGUUUUCUCUUAAAAGCUUCCAUUUCUCUCUGUUGUGACUUUGCACACAUUUUCCCCUGAUUGUUCAAGACCUGCACAGCCUUCCUUUUAUUGCUUAGAUUGUUUCUUCAUAAAAUGUAAGUUUGUCACUAAGACAUUGGAAUAUGAGGGG